rnacentral:rRNA from 1 species
GAUGAACGCCGGCGGUGUGCCUAAUACAUGCAAGUCGUACGCACUGGCCCAACUGAUUGAUGGUGCUUGCACCUGAUUGACGAUGGAUCACCAGUGAGUGGCGGACGGGUGAGUAACACGUAGGUAACCUGCCCCGGAGCGGGGGAUAACAUUUGGAAACAGAUGCUAAUACCGCAUAACAACAAAAACGACCGCAGUCGGUUUUGUUUUGAAAGAUGGCUUUGGCUAUCACUCUGGGAUGGACCUGCGGUGCAUUAGCUAGUUGGUAAGGUAACGGCUUACCAAGGCGAUGAUGCAUAGCCGAGUUGAGAGACUGAUCGGCCACAAUGGAACUGAGACACGGUCCAU